AUAAACUCCUGGCCAAUUGAAAAAAAUGAUGAAAGUGGUUCACCCAUAGCGAGGCUCAGCCAUUGCACUGAGGCUGUUGCUGACCCGUGCGAAUUCCCCAAAUGUGGGAAUCUCGAUUGCAUAAUUUCUGGUAGUGGGGGACUGCGUUCGCGCUCUCCCCUG
ensembl:snRNA U1 U1 spliceosomal RNA